AGUGAAUGCUGGCGGUAGGCCUAACACAUGCAAGUCGAACGGCAGCACAGUAAGAGCUUGCUCUUACGGGUGGCGAGUGGCGGACGGGUGAGGAAUACAUCGGAAUCUACUUUUUCGUGGGGGAUAACGUAGGGAAACUUACGCUAAUACCGCAUACGACCUACGGGUGAAAGCAGGGGAUCUUCGGACCUUGCGCGAUUGAAUGAGCCGAUGUCGGAUUAGCUAGUUGGCGGGGUAAAGGCCCACCAAGGCGACGAUCCGUAGCUGGUCUGAGAGGAUGAUCAGCCACACUGGAACUGAGACACGGUCCAGACUCCUACGGGAGGCAGCAGUGGGGAAUAUUGGACAAUGGGCGCAAGCCUGAUCCAGCCAUACCGCGUGGGUGAAGAAGGCCUUCGGGUUGUAAAGCCCUUUUGUUGGGAAAGAAAAGCAGCAGGUUAAUACCCCGCUGUUCUGACGGUACCCAAAGAAUAUGCACCGGCUAACUUCGUG
rnacentral:rRNA from 1 species